GACGAACGCUGGCGGCGUGCUUAACACAUGCGAGUCGAACGGAGAGGCCCUGCUUUUGUGGGGUGCUCGAGUGGCGAACGGGUGAGUAACACGUGAGUAACCUGCCCUUGACUUUGGGAUAACUUCAGGAAACUGGGGCUAAUACCGGAUAGGAGCUCCUGCUGCAUGGUGGGGGUUGGAAAGUUUCGGCGGUUGGGGAUGGACUCGCGGCUUAUCAGCUUGUUGGUGGGGUAGUGGCUUACCAAGGCUUUGACGGGUAGCCGGCCUGAGAGGGUGACCGGCCACAUUGGGACUGAGAUACGGCCCAGACUCCUACGGGAGGCAGCAGUGGGGAAUAUUGCACAAUGGGCGGAAGCCUGAUGCAGCAACGCCGCGUGCGGGAUGACGGCCUUCGGGUUGUAAACCGCUUUCGCCUGUGACGAAGCGUGAGUGACGGUAAUGGGUAAAGAAGCACCGGCUAACUACGUG
rnacentral:rRNA from 1 species